rnacentral:rRNA from 1 species
UAGGGAAUCUUCCACAAUGGACGUAAGUCUGAUGGAGCAACGCCGCGUGAGUGAAGAAGGUUUUCGGAUCGUAAAGCUCUGUUGUUGGUGAAGAAGGAUAGAGGCAGUAACUGGUCUUUAUUUGACGGUAAUCAACCAGAAAGUCACGGCUAACUACGUGCCAGCAGCCGCGGUAAUACGUAGGUGGCAAGCGUUGUCCGGGUUUGUUGGGCGUAAAGCGAGCGCAGGCGGAAUGUUAAGUCUGAUGUGAAAGCCCAAGGCUCAACCGUGGAACUGCAUCGGAAACUGUCAUUCUUGAGUGCAGAAGAGGAGAGUGGAAUUCCAUGUGUAGCGGUAGAAUGCGUAGAUAUAUGGAAGAGCACCAGUGGCGAUGGCGGCUCUCUGGUCUGCAACUGACGCUGAGGCUCGAAAGCAUGAGUAGCGAACAGG